GCCGCUGCACAAUCAGCGGCCGGGUUUGGCGACCCGAUCUACGUUAGGCGCACAGGCGCCAAAAACACAUUUGCAGGCGCUUUUUUU
rnacentral:sRNA from 1 species